rnacentral:rRNA from 1 species
UACAGAGGGUGCGAGCGUUAAUCGGAAUUACUGGGCGUAAAGGGCGCGUAGGCGGUUGUGUGAGUGUGAUGUGAAAGCCCUGGGCUUAACCUGGGAAGUGCAUCGCAAACGACAUAACUGGAGUAUAAGAGAGGGUGGCGGAAUUCCCGGUGUAGAGGUGAAAUUCGUAGAUAUCGGGAGGAACACCAGUGGCGAAGGCGGCGACCUGGACGGACACUGACGCUGAGGCACGAAAGCGUGGGUAGCAAACAGG